AUGCUCUCUUUGUCAGCAGUACAGAAGCAGAAUGAUUUUGAUUUCUUCUCUUGCAAGAUUGAUACCCUGGAGAACCCACAGUUCUCCUCUGUACUUGCAGAUGGUCAGUUAAAUACUCCCAUCUGGUUACACUUGUUUUUUUUUCUGGUUAUACUUAGUUUUUUUCUAAAAACAAAGCUAAAUAAAACCCCACAAACAAGUAAACAAAAAAGGAAAACCAAACAAAUAAAAAAACCAAACCCACCAACCAUAAGCAGCAGAACUAAUAAAGCUCCAUUUCAUACAGUUUGUGCCCUGUGUCUUUAUAGUGCAGUAAUCCAAGCAUCACCUCUUUGUCCUGUAUCGUCUCAUUUCCUCCUUCCAUUUCCCCUGCAAUUUCAUUUCCUUCUCUCUCUCUGCAGCACUUAUUGCCAUUUGCCCUGUGGGAAUUUUUCCUUGUUUUUUCCCUUCAUGUGCCUCUCUCCCUUGGAUUUAAUGUUGCAGUCCAGAUAAUGAUGGAAAAAAGGCCAUUUAUUUCACUCUGGUGUCAAUCCACCUGCAUCGAGGAACACUUUGAAUUGGCAACAAAUUUGUAAGUACAGUAAGGGUAACUUCCACCCAUGUGUGACGUGAUGAGCCCCAUCAAAGUUCGUGGUCUAUAGAGUUUUUGCCUUUUCAUUUCUCUCAAAGGCAGGCUGUCAUUUUCCCCAUUCCUUUCCCCAUGAUAUGACUCACUGGCAAUACAGCUCAGUAAAGCCACCUGUACUGGCACUUCUGCAAUUCCACAGUGAGUCCUUUGAAGAAGUUUGUUGGCACUGUCAUUUUUGGAAGGGGAUUGGUUGAUUAGACACUAAUUUGAGUGAUUUUAACUCCAAUGGAACUAGGCUCAAGCUUGUAUUUACAGAAGGGGUUUUGUGGAUAAAGAGAUGAACUAACUACAGAAAUAAAAAGGUUAGUUGUUAGGGCUAGAAUCACAGUGGAGCUGAAGAGACCAUAAAAGGGACAGAAGCAUUACUCUGAGAUGCCAUAUAAUAUGAUCCUUUUGGAAAGAGUGAACAAUGGAAUAACUGGGUCAGCUGAGGAGGUGACACAGAUCACUUUGGUCAGUAACUUUUCAAUCAAAAGCACAGUAUAGAUGCUGCACUUCUGUGGAUGGGGUAACCAGUUAACUUCACAAAUCUUGAUUUUCAAUUUAGGAUCUCGGUUUUGCAACAUUAUCACAAAGGGAACUGGAGAUUUUUAUCCUCUUUAACACCUAUUCUCAGUUAUUUCUGUUAAAAUUUUAUUCCAGUCCUAACCAACUAUCUCUUUUUUUCUUUUCAUGUAUGCAUUUUGUGAGACACAGGAAACCUACACCCUAGUAAAAUUUUUCAUUUUUCACCUCAAGGCCCUUUACAAACUCUCAUUAAUUUAAAUUCCCUCCACACACCUGCUGAAUAACCCAACACAAACAGGAUGUCACAGUCAAGAUCUCUGUGUGUAUCACUUGGUCCGCUAAGCAUAGGAGCAAGCCAGAUCCCACUGUGCAUUAAAAUUUCAGUGAUGGAUUCCUGGCAACCCCAUGUGCAGAAUCAUCACAGCACAUUUAUUCUUUACAGAGAGCCAUCAGCCACACAGAUGCUGCAGAGAAAUGUCAGAAGCAAAAUAGGGCUCUCCCAGAGAAGAUACUGUGGGAGCUUGGGGACUGAAAAUGGUUGGAGUUUGGCAUGGUACUUUCCACUCUGAAGAACAAAGUGGUGUUUAUCUACUCUCCACUCCUCUGACUUCUAAUGAGCCCUUCCUUUCAAGCUCCCUUCCCCAGCAACUUUUGAAUUGGUUCCCACUGAAGUUGUUUUCCCUGUCUUGCUCUACCUCCAAGCCAGGCAGACUGGGAGGGAAACAGUUUACCAUGGUGUAAAAGAUUUUUGGAGUACAUCAAUGGGUGGAGCACCAGUCCGGGACCUUCACGGUGUUCUGGAUCUUUGUGCUAAGCUGUGCAUUGCUACCUGUGUUCACCCAUCUUGAGUACCUGGUGUUUCUGGAGCAGAACCAGACGUGGUGCUUGCCUACAGCCUUGGAGAAAUUGGAGUCUGGAUGCUACAACUUCAGUUUGAUCAGAGAAAAGCAGUUUAGGCUGGGUUUUUGAGAGGGCAGGGCAGGGCAGGGCAGUAAGGGGAGCAGUCCAAAAUGUAGAGCUGCUGUUCUCCCCCACAUCUGCUGGGCUGCUAGCUCCAGUUUCCAGACCAGAACUCAACCCACAAAUUGUGCACCUUUACCUGCUGGAGAAAGCCAUUAUAAAGAAAUCUUUUUGUCAGCAUCAUGCAAAGGCUUUGCAGUCUUUAAGUGCUCAUCAGGUCUCAGUUUUGGGAAACCAUGUAUCAAAUGUUGGUAGAUAGGAUGGACUUCGGGAUCAGACUCGGCGUGCCUAGAGAAAGAUUCAAUGGAGACAAACUGUGCAACAUGAUUGUUUCUUUGAAAUGUGGAGCUAAAGAAGGAUCCUGGGAAUGUGCUAAUCAAGGUAAAUUUAUAAAUAAAAACAUUUCAGAAAUUUUGAAUCAAGCUGUCAUGUGAUUUAUUCAGGAAAAAAUAUGUAGCAAAUUCUGAAUGUGUUACUUGGCCACAAACAGAGCAGAGUUCAAAUUUAGGUCCCAGUUACUGCUCCUUUAUGAAUGACACUUUCCAUAUGUGUUUCCAUAUGGGUUCUGUAUGUGGACAUGGGUUUCAACAUGUGGUGUUUCUUCUCCAUUCCUUCCAGGUCAAUGUGGAGAUUUGUCCUCCAUGUAAAUCACUGGUAAGAUUAAGGCAUUCAGCUCACUCGCUGCCAGAUUUGUCCUCCAUGUAAAUCACUGGUAAGACUAAGGCAUUCAGCUCACUUGCUGCAAAUGCCUAGCUUCCUUUAUCCAAUAAUGCCUUUUAAGAUUUGGCUUCCUGUCUUUACUUUGUUUGAUAUCCUCUCUGAAAUCUGUUGCCAAUGCACUUUCUCAGCAAAGAGCUGUUCAGGCUUGUAAUGAUUCCUGAUGCUUGGAAAAGUUUCAUGAUACCUAGGCUGAAUGCAUAUUAAAUUAUAUUGAUUUUUCUCUGCAUAGAUAUCAGGUGCUGUAAAUUCUAGAUUUUUCAUGGUGAAGGGAUGGCGUACAGACACAUUUUUCUAAAUAUAACACUUUGCUCUAAAAGGUUUCAUGUGGAGACAGGCCUGUCUGUCAGAACAUGUCCUGCCAGGUAGCUCUGCAAGCAGAACCUGACAGUGUAUUUAAUCCUCCAUAUCCAUUCUUGUGGUCCAUAAAUAUUAAACUUGCUUUAAAGUGAUGAUUGAAAAGGCUCGAGUUUUGCAAGACAUUUGUGGAACUGUGAAGUUAGUCAGAGAAUCAAGUAUGUUUUUAUAUCCCACUUUAAGUAAUCAUUCAGCCCCUAAAUCAAAUAAACGCUUCGUUCAUUCAAAACAAAAAUUUCUGCAGUAGGGCAGCUCCUCGCUGAGACAAGUUUGGAGCCGUCCCUGCAUGAUUAGCUCGGGGGAACUCUCUUGACUCACUGCCGUCAGCUUCCCGUGGUGAUUCCACGGACUGGAUAAUGGAGAUGCACACACAGAGUGAGUCACUGCCAGCUCGGGACCCACUCUCCAUUCCCUUCGCUCUCGCAGCCGAUAAAACCUGUGGCACUGUCAGGGCUCUCGGUGGAGAAUCCGGGCCUUAUGCGUCUGGUGGAAACCUCUGCCACACCAAUCGGAGAUUAUGGCAUCAUAAUACGAAGAAACCUCAUUACAAUACCAAGAAACCCCGAACUCGAGCAGCCUAUUCGCCUCUGGUUGUUGGCAUGCUUCUCCCACCCCGCUUCCCUGCCCGGGAAUCCGGGAUCUCCGGCCGGGCAGCCGUGACUGACACACAGCAGCGCCAGCAGGCUCACACUGCC
ensembl:lncRNA